rnacentral:rRNA from 1 species
AAGUCGUAACAAGGUUUCCGUAGGUGAACCUGCGGAAGGAUCAUUAUUGAAUACGAAUCGGUUCUGAUGCUGGCCCUUCACCGGGCAUGUGCUCGCUCCGAAUCCAUUUAUCUUCUCUUGUGCACCUCUUGUAGUCUUUGAAAGAAGUGAACCUCUCGCAGCAAUGCGGUCUGGGGGGACUGGGUCAAACCUUCCCCUGCUUGCUUUCUUCUUGGCUAUGUUUUCAUAUACACUAUAAAGUUACAGAAUGUCUUUUUUUAACGAUUGUCGCUCGCGCGCAGUCAUUAAACCUAUACAACUUUCAGCAACGGAUCUCUUGGCUCUCCCAUCGAUGAAGAACGCAGCGAAAUGCGAUAAGUAAUGUGAAUUGCAGAAUUCAGUGAAUCAUCGAAUCUUUGAACGCACCUUGCGCCCUUUGGUAUUCCGAAGGGCAUGCCUGUUUGAGUGUCAUUAAAUUCUCAACCUUGCUCGCCUUUACCGGCUUGAGUGGGGCUUGGACGUGAGGGCUUUGCUGGCUUCCUUAAGUGGAUGGUCUGCUCCCUUUAAAUGCAUUAGUGGGAUCUCUUGUGGACCGUCACUUGGUGUGAUAAUUAUCUACGCCUCGUCGACUUUGAAGCAAACUUAUGGGAACCUGCUUAUAACCGUCUCGCAAGGGACAACUUUCUGACAUUUUGACCUCAAAUCAGGUAGGACUACCCGCUGAACUUAA